GAUGAACGCUGGCGGCGUGCCUAAUACAUGCAAGUCGAGCGAACAGACGAGGAGCUUGCUCCUCUGACGUUAGCGGCGGACGGGUGAGUAACACGUGGAUAACCUACCUAUAAGACUGGGAUAACUUCGGGAAACCGGAGCUAAUACCGGAUAAUAUAUUGAACCGCAUGGUUCAAUAGUGAAAGACGGUUUUGCUGUCACUUAUAGAUGGAUCCGCGCCGCAUUAGCUAGUUGGUAAGGUAACGGCUUACCAAGGCAACGAUGCGUAGCCGACCUGAGAGGGUGAUCGGCCACCCUGGAACUGAGACACGGUCCAGACUCCUACGGGAGGCAGCAGUAGGGAAUCUUCCGCAAUGGGCGAAUGCCUGACGGAGCAACGCCGCGUGAGUGAUGAAGGUCUGCGGAUCGUAAAGCUCUGUUAUUAGGGAAGAACAAAUGUGUAAGUAACUAUGCACGUCUUGACGGUACCUAAUCAGAAAGCCACGGCUAACUACGUG
rnacentral:rRNA from 1 species